ACCAAUGUGGAUAAUUGUGGGUGUAUCCUCUUCUGAAAAGAAGUCAUCAAUGUUUCCAGAAAGAUGAGUGCAGGAAUAGGAAACUUACCUCACAAAGGACCUGAAAAUUGAAAAUUUUCUUCUUUACGAGGACAACAAAAUUGGUGAUUUUGAACUGAGCAAUACCACGAAGUUUGAGGGGGUUGCUACUUACCCAGUGUGGAAGCCCAGUUUACACAGCCCCAGAACUCCUUCCUCACAGGAAAUAUGGCCCAAAGGUGAACGUCUGGUCCAUCUCUUUGAAGAUAUUUUAAAAAGGAUGUUGUUGCACUCACUCCACAUGCAGAUCUCGGUUUCACAAAUAACACAAUCAUCAUCUGCACUAGCGUCUGAACCAGAUCAAUCAAACUGGGAUUGCCUAAAUUCCUAAAAUGACCAGCUCAGCUGAGUUCAGCAGAGAUGUGACAUGAGACUGCAAGGAGCAGCG
rnacentral:lncRNA from 1 species